UGAAUAAGCUGACAAGGCAAUAAUAUAAUAGUAAUGAAUCACUGUAAUCACGUGAUGCCCAUAUUUACGCGGCAAUAUUCCCAUAGACAAACCACUAAUAGACUUAGAGAGCAGUAUAGUAUUCUACUCAAUGGCGGCUACAAACUCUCCAGAAACAUUAGGUGAUGUCAGUGACCUACUCAAACGGCAAGACAAAGAUCGUUUCAAUAGAGUUCACAACCAAGACAGCUCAAAAAUAGUAGCUUUAAGUCAUGUGACACUGGAACAAAGUGGAGAGAGCUAUCGAUUCAGAUCAGAGACAGGAAAAGAUCAUGAACAUGCCGAGAUCGCCGUUGUACGGGAAGCAUCAGAAUGGCUUGAUAAGAUGAUGAAGGAUCUCACUGAACAAACAGAAAUAAGCCUCACCACAAUGGCUACCAGCAGUCCUUGUUUGGAAUGUCAGUCUGUAAUACUGAAGAUGCUCCUAGACUGGAGAGAGAAGCUUAAGCUUACUGUCAACUACAAGCUUCGUAUCAGCUACCUUUAUCAUGAUUUAGAAUCGACACUAACAGCAGCACCAAAGAAACGCCUUAAAGAUCCCAAAGUUAGACAAAACCUGAUGGCUUGGAUUCAGGCCAUAAAAGACAGUGGAGUCAAUUUUACACUAGAAGCAAUAUCAGUAUGUGAUGAACUCUAUCAGAUCAUAAAAUUCGUCAAGUUAAGUGCAAAUCAUGCCAACAAAGAGGGAGUUCAAAAACUGGUGGAGCUAAACCACUCAAGCGAAUCCGGGAGAAAUCAUCGUGCUCUGUAUGUGAGAGUAAGACACUAAUCAAAAAACUUAAACGAGAAAAGGCGGACUCAGCUAUUGCACAUAACGUUGACUGUGUUAACUCUUCACUAAGACACACUAAAUGGAUGAAUAUACAGCACCAAUAAGAAGAGAGCCUGACCUUUGUUGAGAGGAGCUGUACUGCCAUAACUUCAUUCGUAACUCAAGGACAGUCUUACUAUCAUCUCUGCUCUCAACCUACCACAUUUUCAGUUUGUUUUUAAUGUAAUUACAUGUAGGUACAUGUACCUAGCAUGCACAUAUCAGUUUGAAGGUACCUAG